GAGAGUUGAUAAGCGAGAGUUUGCAUGAGAGUUUUCUCAACUCUCAUGCCCCGGUCAAACGAGAACAAGAGUUGCAUGAGAGUUGAUGAGAGUUGAGAAGCGAGAGUUUGCAUGAGAGUUUUCUCAACUCUCAUACCCCGGUCAAACGAGAACAAGAGUUGCAUGAAAGUUGAUAAAAGUUGAGAAGCGAGAAUUUGCAUGAGAGUUUUCUCAACUCUCGUGUCCCGGUCAAACGAGAACAAGAGUUACAUAAGAGUUGAUGAGAGUUGAGAAGCGAGAGUUUGCAUGAGAGUUUUCUCAACUCUCGUACUCUGGUCAAACGAGAACAAGAGUUGCAUGAGAGUUGAUGAGAGUUGAGAAGCGAGAGUUUGCAUGAGAGUUUUCUCAACUCUCGUACUGAGAGUUGAUGAGAGUUGAGAAGCGAGAGUUUGCAUGAGAGUUUUCUCAACUCUCGUGCCCCGGUCAAACGAGAACAAGAGUUGCAUGAGAGUUGAUGAGAGUUGAGAAGCGAGAGUUUGCAUGAGAGUUUUCUCA